UACGAAGGGGGCUAGCGUUGCUCGGAAUCACUGGGCGUAAAGCGCACGUAGGCGGAUCUUUAAGUCGGGGGUGAAAUCCUGGAGCUCAACUCCAGAACUGCCUUCGAUACUGAAGAUCUCGAGUCCGGGAGAGGUGAGUGGAACUGCGAGUGUAGAGGUGAAAUUCGUAGAUAUUCGCAAGAACACCAGUGGCGAAGGCGGCUCACUGGCCCGGUACUGACGCUGAGGUGCGAAAGCGUGGGGAGCAAACAGG
rnacentral:rRNA from 1 species